UAGCAAAGCAAAAGAAGUCACAAGCUGUUACAGAGUUCAAGCAUUCCGGGGUUGCACAUAAGCGACGUGCUAGGGUUCUACAAGAUCCCGGUAUGUGACAUGCUCCAGUCAACUGCAAAUGACAACCACCUGUGGAAAAUGAAUUACUCCCUUUUCAUCGGCAUAUGCCAUAUAAACUGCAACAGCUCGCCUACACCUGAUAAUGUACAGAACAACGAUGUUCAUGUGCUAAAUAGCAUGUAUCAAGUAUCUCUUGACUCUGGUUUUAACUGGAAAGAGGCUUUCCACAAUAAAAGUAUGCAGAACGAGGAAUAUGGAGUUUCACAUCAAAUAGAGCUAUAUGGAUAUUGCCGAUCUGUCAUUUGGCUAUGCAACUUGACGUGUGAUACUCCACAUCAUUGUCCUAAGAAUGGAAAAGUGGACUAA
rnacentral:lncRNA from 1 species